GAUGAAGAACGUAGCGAAAUGCGAUAAGUAGUGUGAAUUGCAGAAUUCAGUGAAUCAUCGAAUCUUUGAACGCACAUUGCGCCCCAUGGUAUUCCGUGGGGCAUGCCUGUUCGAGCGUCAUUUACCCCCUCAAGCUCCGCUUGGUGUUGGGCGUCUGUCCCGCUUCGCGCGCGGACUCGCCCCAAAGGUAUUGGCAGCGGUCGUGCCAGCUUCUCGCGCAGCACAUUGCGCUUCUCGAGGCACCGGUGGGCCCGCGUCCAUCAAGCUCACCCCCCCGGUUUGACCUCGGAUCAGGUAGGGAUACCCGCUGAACUUAAGCAUAUCAAUAAGCGGAGGA
rnacentral:misc_RNA from 1 species